CGGGGCGUAGCGCAGACGGCAAGCGCGCCUGCCUUGGGAGCAGGAGGUCGCUGGUUCAAGUCCAGUCGCCCCGA
rnacentral:tRNA from 1 species